rnacentral:rRNA from 1 species
UACGGGGGGGGCAAGCGUUGUUCGGAAUUACUGGGCGUAAAGGGCUCGUAGGCGGCCAACUAAGUCGGACGUGAAAGCCCCGGGCUCAACCUGGGAAUUGCAUUCGAGACUGAAUAGCUAGGGUACGGUAGAGGGAAGCGGAAUUUCCGGUGUAGCGGUGAAAUGCGUAGAUAUCGGAAGGAACAUCAGUGGCGAAAGCGGCUUCCUGGACCAGUACCGACGUUCAGGCACGAAAGCGUGGGGAGCAAACAGG